AAAGGCUGGUGGGAGGCCCAGCCGUGGCCGCACACCUGGCGGGUGCGGCCCAUCUAACCCGUUACUGGGAGGGCCGGCAGGUCGGGCUGCUGUUGCAGUCCGACUACCGGGACGCCGUGGAGCGUAUUAGGACCCUAUGAUGAUGAUGUAUGAAGGUCUGGACCUGCCGUCUUCGGGAUGUGCCAUUUGUUUCAAAAUUAUUUACUCAUCCAAGUC